rnacentral:rRNA from 1 species
UGGGGAAUCUUGGACAAUGGGCGCAAGCCUGAUCCAGCCAUGCCGCGUGAGUGAAGAAGGCCUUCGGGUUGUAAAGCUCUUUUUACCAGGGACGAUAAUGACGGUACCUGGAGAAUAAGCCCCGGCAAACUUCGUGCCAGCAGCCGCGGUAAUACGAAGGGGGCUAGCGUUGUUCGGAAUUACUGGGCGUAAAGCGCACGUAGGCGGAUUGUUAAGUCAGAGGUGAAAUCCCGGAGCUCAACUUCGGAACUGCCUUUGAUACUGGCAAUCUAGAGUCCGGAAGAGGUUAGUGGAAUUCCCAGUGUAGAGGUGAAAUUCGUAGAUAUUGGGAAGAACACCAGUGGCGAAGGCGGCUAACUGGUCCGGUACUGACGCUGAGGUGCGAAAGCGUGGGAGCAAACAGGAUUAGAUACCCCAGUAGUCCCUGAGCGGGCUGGCAAGGCGCAU